ensembl:lncRNA
UUUAGAACUCAGAUGUGAAGUCUGGUCUGUAGUCUGUUUCCUUUGCCAUUCAGAAUUCAUGGAGAAACAUGAUUUCAUUGCUGGAUGAGAGCAUCCCAUCUACCUCUAAGGAACUGGGAUGAGGCAGGGGAUACAUACAUUCAGUAUUCUAGGUAUUUAGAAGAAAAGACCUGAAAGAGAAAAAACUAACCCAAAGGAGCUUUCUGAUUGGUGAUGCCAAAGAUUGAUUACAUCUGUGAUUGCAUUCCUGAGAGUUCCAGCUUUUUUGAUAUACUAUAUACAACUCCGGUCCUGUUGUCAUCCUACAAGCCCUUCAUUAAGGAAAUAAAUGCCUGAGUGACAAUGAUAAAAUGGAAUAAGCAGAAGGAGGAGACAAGUAUGUGGAUUGGAUUGGAGUGCUAAGUAUGCCUUAGGGCAAUGCUGCUCCUGAGAAUGACUCAUCUCUGGAACAAAACAAGAAAAACACUUAUUUCAUCAAGACCCACUAUAGCCCAGGCAGCACUGCGUUGGUUAGCUGGCUGCCCCCGUACAUGCUGUCUGAUGUCCUGUGCAAGACUGUUCCAGCUGGACCUCUGAUUACCAAGCCAGACUAUGCUGUGCAUUAGCUCCAAUAGAUCAUCGAACACAAGAGAAGUAAAAUGGAAGCCAACGAAAUGAAUCUUGAAGAGGCUUCUGAGAACAGAUGCUAUGAACUGGAGUACUUGUCCACCAGUAAGCUGGCUGACACUCCCAGCAGCUAGACUGAAGCCAUGAGCCUCGUGGAAAACUGAUGAGCUCCUUUCUGCUGGGGACCCGCAUCACUCUGUGAACUGCUCCCCGUCAUCGCUUGUUGCUCACGUGAAAGGGAUGAGCUUGAGGCCUGGAGACAAGACUUGAGUCCACCCCAGUCAGUCAGACAGACCUAAGCACUGAGAGCCUAAGCUGAGACACCCAUUACUAUCAAGGCAAUGAGAUGUUCCCAGGAUGGAGAGCGCUGCCUAGCAAGACCUCCCGGCAGUUUUCCCAGGUGGAAGCUGUUCAGGUUGAGUUGAGCA